CGGAAAUAUGGAAAAGAAUCAAGGAGUUAGGUGUCUGGUUGCACUGUCUGCAGUUUUCUUAUAUAUAUGGUGGUUUAUUCCAAGGUCGGGGAAAGGGGAAGAGGGAGACACACAGCUAUUCUAGAUGAGUGGGGAGCACUGGAAAGUGCAAUACUCCUGCACUGGCUGCAGUUUUCAUUAGGUGGUCAGAAUACACUGCAGGAAGAAGGUGACAUUUGCGCCAACGCUAGAAGAUAAGGAAGGGGACAGCCACAUAAAUCCUAAGAGACCAGUGUUGCAGCAGAGGCAGUGGCGAUGCACUGGCCUUGCUGGAGAGCGGAUGACAGACUCCAGGGCUGGCAGGGUGUCCAGGCCAGAGAGAACAAGGCACAGGGCAGUACAGAAGGAAACCAGGAGGUGCUGGAGAGCUGAUGGCGGAGGCCAUUUAAGGAUCUGGGGUUUUACUCCAAGUCAAGAGCUUUCACUGAGCUGAGCUUUCUGCUGUAAAUGUCUUCGCUGUUUAACACUUUGAUAAUUCUCUUUAAGUUACAGAACAGAACACUGUCUCAAAAGUACAUCAGUACAAGCAAUAGCAAAUUAUAAAACUGAUUUUUUUAAAAUGCUCCUCCCAUCGUAGGGUUUGGAGAAAGUAUCAUGAUCAGACUUCCACUGUAACCUGAUCACUCUGAUCUUUCUACUGAGAAUGGACUAUGUGACACAAAGGUAGAAACUGUGUAGGAAGUAAUGCAGCAGACCCAGUGGGCAUUCAGCAUUUCAGGAAAUGCAGAGUCAUGCCCUGGCCAUCGGCCCGCUCCUAGCAGAGACUGCUCUCUGUACUAGAGAAGAGCUGUUCCAGCUCUGCUUCCCCACCACGAGCUCCCCCUCAGCCUCUGCUGCCCUCAGCCACUGCGGCCUGGAGAUGAGGUGGUCGAAUGUGGGACCAGAAUUAUUGCUGUGAGAUAAAGACACCCUCUCUCUCUCCACCUAUGCACCAGGACAAGGGUGGCUUUGGAUCAAGCAGACGUGGUAGGAUAUCGGGAGAGAGAUAGAUGCUAAGUGGUAAUUCCUAGUGCGACAUAAUGUUCCCUUCUCUCAGUUACAUAAAACACCUAAUUCAGCAAGCAGGGACAUUAGCAUCAAUAAUUUACUUCAAGUAUAAAGUGAAUAGAGAAAAAUGGAGCAGUAACAUAGCCAGCUACAUAGGAUGUAGGCUAUGGAAGUUUAGUUUUAUCCAGCAGACAGCGGAAGGUCAAUGAAGGGUAUCAGUUGGGGAAGUUGUACAGUUUGAAUAAAAUAAAUAAAAUAUAUAUGGGGAACACAAAUGCAGAACUAGGAAGCCAUGAAGAGAAGCAUUUGCUGCAAGAACCUUGCAGGCAAAACUUAUGAGAUUGCAAACCAAGGCUGUGGGAAGAGAAUUAUUAUGAUGAUCACUGCCCUUUAGGGCUGAAAGAAACAAACAAGGAAGAAGAGGAGGCAGAAUCAACAUGAACAGCAGCGGUUCCCACUGCUGCAGUACCAUUCAGCACUGACUCCCACCGUGGUGUGCCCACCCGGCGGAUCUCCAGUCCGCUUCUUUAGGUGAAGACACAAGACUGAGUGUCACGCAUCUGCCCACGUGGAAAAUGCUGCUGAGCACCUUGAGGUCACGCUCAGUGCCCCGCCGUCUGCAUGGCCCUGCCGGCCCUGGAGGAGGAGAUGGUGGGGACAGGACUGUGCUCUUCUAGAAUGUCCUCUGCUCACUUUCCUGGGUCUGCCAAGGGUCGGGCCUCACUGGUAUUUUCUGUCUGGUCUGCAUUAACUAAGACGAAGAUUUCAACCUUCACCAGCUUUCACUCUCUGUGUGUGAAAAAGCUACACGUCACAGAAAGCCUGGAUCAGUGAAGGGCAGGAAGCAGCAUCACAGAACCUGGGUAGGUGGAUUCAGCAGGCAAGACAACGUACUCCAUCCCGAAAGCUGUCUGUAUUCUUAUCUCCUGAACUUGUGCAUGUGUUUCACACAUGCCAAAGGGAAAAAAUAAUUCUGAGGACAGGAUAAAGUUACGAUCUGGGGACGGGGAUGCACUUCUAAUCUAAUGACAUGAGUCUUCAAAGUUGGAGAACUUUUCAUGGUUGUAGUCAGCUAGGGAAAGAUGCAGUAUUACUUGAACUUGAAGAGGGCAGAGUGUGAGUGGAUCUGCGAAUGUAAGUGAGUUUUAGAGAUUGGAAAUGACAAGAAAGCAGGAUCUCCAGAAAAGAAGGCAGGUUGGGAGUGCCCAGUCACACUGGACCCACGAGUCUGGGUUCCUGCUGCUGCAGUAACAGAGCACCAUGGAGUCAGGCUAAUUGAAGUUCACUGCCCUGCGGCUCUGGACAUCAGAACUAGAAUGUGGAUUGGAGCUACAGCAAGACGUUUUCCUGCUGGAGAACCUAGGGAAGAAUCUGCUUCUUCAUCUUUCCCUCGCUUCAAGAGGCUGCCACUCCAACCUCCGCUUUCAUCGUCCCAUCUCUGCCGCUGUCACCACCAUCUCCUUCUCAUUAACACCUGUGAUGCGCUGGGUCCUCCCAAAAAACUCAAAGAUGAUCUCACCUUACGAUUAUCAACUUUAUCACAUCUGCAAGGUCCCUUUUGCCAGGAAAGGUGAUACAGUUACAGGUUUUGAUAAUAAGGCUGUGGGGAUCCUCCUUCUAUGGAUCAUACCUACAGAACUAUAAAAUAAUAAAGUUGUAUUGUUAUGGUCAAUAACUUUACAGAAAUCUAUAAUAACAGCAAUA